rnacentral:rRNA from 1 species
AUUGAACGCUGGCGGCAUGCCUUACACAUGCAAGUCGAACGGCAGCACGGGGCAACCUGGUGGCGAGUGGCGAACGGGUGAGUAAUGCAUCGGAACGUACCUUUCAGUGGGGGAUAACGUAGCGAAAGUUACGCUAAUACCGCAUAUUCUGUGAGCAGGAAAGCAGGGGAUCGCAAGACCUUGCGCUGAUUGAGCGGCCGAUGUCAGAUUAGCUAGUUGGUGAGGUAAAGGCUCACCAAGGCGACGAUCUGUAGCGGGUCUGAGUGGAUGAUCCGCCACACUGGAACUGAGACGCGGUCCAGACUCCUACGGGAGGCAGCAGUGGGGAAUUUUGGACAAUGGGGGCAGCCCUGAUCCAGCCAUGCCGCGUGAGUGAAGAAGGCCUUCGGGUUGUAAAGCUCUUUCGGCCGGGAAGAAAUCGCACGGGCUAAUACCCUGUGUGGAUGACGGUACCGGAAUAAGAAGCACCGGCUAACUACGUGCCAGCCGCCGCGGUAAAAC